CACGUAGGGGACAAGCGUUAUUCGGAAUUACUGGGCGUAAAGGGCAUGUAGGCGGCUUUGUAAGCCUGGCGUGAAAGUCACCAGCUCAACUGGUGGAUUGCGUCGGGAACUGCAGGGCUUGAGUCAUGGAGAGGAAGGUAGAAUUCCUGGUGUAGGGGUGAAAUCUGUAGAGAUCAGGAAGAAUACCAGUGGCGAAGGCGACCUUCUGGCCAAUGACUGACGCUGAGGUGCGAAAGUGGGGGGAUCAAACAGG
rnacentral:rRNA from 1 species